UCACACCUGUGUACUUUUCCAGUACCUAUACUACUUAUACCGUCUACGUAAGUGCUUACCUGGUACUUUUUUUCUGGUGGUAGAUAAAUUAGGUCGAAUUGGCUUCGGACUUUCUUUUCUUUGAAGUUGAUGAUUUGUAUUUAAAUAUUUCUCGAAGUGACGUUUCGAUUUACACUUAAGUAAAGUGUGAAGUAAAUUUUGAAUUCGCGUUUAAUUUCUCGACGAAUUUAAUUAUUUUAAAAUUCGGUUCUUCAAUCCUUGGAUUUAACAGCUUUAACCCCGAGCUGGGAGAGUGUCAGUAUCCAAAUGAUGGAUAGGAGUCCAUCCGCGUGAAGAUGUAUAUAUGUGGUUGAGCCAAGAUUUUCCUCAGAUACCUAUAUUCCAUUUCAAUGAAAAAAUGAGCCAUAACGUAAUGAAGCGAAGAAUGGAUUUCACAAUCUUCUCAAGAAUAAGAAGGAAACAAAAAAGUAUGUACCUAUUUUCCAAAUUUUUAUAGUAUCUACCUAUCUACAAUUUCGUUUGGAAUCAUCUAUUUGUAUGAUAGUUUUUUGGUUACCUACUAGUUGGCACUACUGAAUUAUUUAUAAAAUAUUGAGCUCUUCUCCAAGUACUUGCCUACACAUGUAGGAAGUUCCUUUCUAAAUUUCUGCCGAAGAAAAACGUUUUGUGGGCUUUUGAAAACUUUGAACUUGACUGAACUAUCACUUAUUGAUACCUAUUCGAAUUUCAAAGAACGUUUCAUUUAAAAAUUUGACUGAGAAUAUUAUGGUUUCGUGAUUUUUAGCAAAAAGUACCCAAAAGUUACCUACAUUACAUAGUUACCUAAUCUAUCUAAUGGGAUUAGUAAGGACUCGAUAAAAUAUCCGCAGAUCACUCAAAAAUGCAACAAAUAAGCUUGAGAAAUCGCCUCGAAGACAACUUAUCAGCACAGAUCAGCCAAUUAUAUCGAAAAAUAUUCAACUAAAUUAAAUAUUGCAAUAAAAACGUAAUUAUUUACAAUUUUACCAAACAAUGGACUAGUCAAGAAUCCCACCAAUUCGAAACUUCCAAACACUAGACCAUAUUCGGUGGCCGUUGCUCCUUUAUUUUCAGCCUAAAAAGUCGAUAAAAAUGAUCACUUACAAAAAUGAAAAAAAAAAUCAAAAAUCAACACGAGUGAGAAAAAAAACGAAAAAAUUGCUCACCUCUUUCGGGUAAAAAGGAGCUUGCAGCGAAACACACGCGGAACAGAAGAAAUUCACGCAUGCUACGAUAAAUAAAGUCAAUAAUUGACGUCUCGAAAGCUUAACUUUGGCCAUUGUCUUCAGCACGUGCAAUGCAUUUCCUUGGAAAAUCCUCUUCGAUGAUACGGUGGCGUAAUCGAUCCAAUCGAUAGAUACAGCAAUAAACGCGAACUUUCAAUAUUCUGGAAUUGAAUAAUUGAUACAAUGUUUCAUAAGAUAAGUACCUAUCUACGUAGUUAGGUAACUAUGAUUUGAAAAAUUGCCAUAUUCGUGUAAUUUUCAAGCCCUUAUCAAGUCGAUGUAAAUUUACCGAGUUAUCGGCUUAUUCUGUAUUGCAAAAUUAAAGUAUACCUACCUACGUAAAAAGAAUGAAUGGCGCUCAUUAAUGAUAGCGUUUACCUAAUUAUCUUCGAUUCGUUCGUUUCCUAAAAUUAAAUCAUCUUCGUACGGUACAAUCAAAUUUCAAAAUUUUCCCUUCAAUAAAAACCGUUCAAAAGUCAAUAUUGAAAAUUUUUUAAACUGGGUAAUUGUUUCCUAGUAUCGAACGAUUUUUCAAAUUCAAUUGCCACAAAUUUGGAAAAUUCCUCGAACGAAUUCCACCCCGAAGACAAAUAAGGGAGAAAAAACACACGAAUAUUUUCAUAUUAUAAAUUGGUAUUAGAUAGGUAGGUAAAAUUCUUCGUAAAAACAAUACUCACUUUUGAACUACCGGAAAGUGAUAACUCGUUUGCUUGAAAUUGUUGGGCAAACUGACGACGCUAAUUUUUGAACAAGCCUAUUCGAUGAUUGAAAGCGCAAAUUUGGAAUCCGCUGAUGAAAUUGUACGACGAGCAGGCUGUAAAAUCGAAACGAAUUUCAAGCAUUUUUCGAAAAAAUGGACGGUUUUUUAACGCGCAACCGAGUAUUAACCUUUGCAUGGUUAAAA